GAGUUUGAUCCUGGCUCAGGAUGAACGCUAGCGGCAGGCUUAACACAUGCAAGUCGAGGGGUAACAGAGAGUGCUUGCACUCUGCUGACGACCGGCGCACGGGUGAGUAACGCGUAUGCAACCUACCUUUUACAGGGAAAUAGCCCAGAGAAAUUUGGAUUAAUAUCCCAUAUUAUCUUUUUUUCGCAUGAAUUAAAGAUGAAAGUCCCGACGGUAAAAGAUGGGCAUGCGUCCUAUUAGUUUGUUGGUAAGGUAACGGCUUACCAAGACUUCGAUAGGUAGGGGCCCUGAGAGGGGGACCCCCCACACUGGUACUGAGACACGGACCAGACUCCUACGGGAGGCAGCAGUGAGGAAUAUUGGACAAUGGAGGAAACUCUGAUCCAGCCAUGCCGCGUGCAGGAUGAAUGCCCUACGGGUUGUAAACUGCUUUUGUACAGGAAGAAACAUUUCCACGUGUGGAAACUUGACGGUACUGUAAGAAUAAGGAUCGGCUAACUCCGUGCCAGCAGCCGCGGUAAUACGGAGGAUCCAAGCGUUAUCCGGAAUUAUUGGGUUUAAAGGGUCCGUAGGUGGUUAUUUAAGUCAGAGGUGAAAUCCUGCCGCUUAACGGUAGAACUGCCUUUGAUACUGAUUAACUUGAGUUAUUGUGAAGUAGUUAGAAUAUGUAGUGUAGCGGUGAAAUGCAUAGAUAUUACAUAGAAUACCGAUUGCGAAGGCAGAUUACUAACAAUAUACUGACACUGAGGGACGAAAGCGUGGGUAGCGAACAGGAUUAGAUACCCUGGUAGUCCACGCCGUAAACGAUGGUCACUAGCUGUUU
rnacentral:rRNA from 1 species